UGGAAAACCCAGGAGACUGAAGUCUUCCAACCACUGAACAGACACAGCCCAGAAAGCGGCAGUGCAAGUUUCCCACGCUACCUUGUUCAUGUGCUUGGGCCCUGACCAGGCUGGGAUUGACUGUGAGGAUGGGGGGUGGAAUUCAGUCUCCAUAACCCAUUCAGUUUUUCACCUCU
rnacentral:sRNA from 1 species